rfam:Gossypium arboreum cultivar AKA8401 contig_24109_1, whole genome shotgun sequence.
UGUCUAAAAAGUUCAUCUAAUUCUACUGUUAAAAUCUUGCGUGAUUGACGAAAUAACCAAACAGCUACCUGAGGCAUGCUAUUAUAGCUCAUUCUAACAUACAAUGAUCGGUUUUUAAUAGUAGAAAUGGAUAAAAAUUUUAAUA